GGAAAAGGAGCUUCAAAGACAGUAUAUAGGGCAUUUGAUGAGUAUCAAGGGAUUGAAGUUGCUUGGAACCAGGUCAAGCUGUAUGAUUUUCUGCAAAGUCCUGAAGAUCUUGAGAGGCUUUAUUGUGAAAUUCAUCUCCUGAAAACAUUGAAGCAUAGGAACAUUAUGAAAGGAAGAUUAUUGGAUUGGUAGAUUUAGAAGGGGAGCGUACCUAUUUACAAAGAGUGCUGAGAAUGGAGAAGAAUAUUGGGAUUGGGGAUGGCGAG
rnacentral:sRNA from 1 species